AAUAACAAUGCAAAGAGCGUGAUUGUUUGAUAGGUAGGUAGUUGCGUUCAGUCGCAUUUGAUUUCAGUUGAAAGUUUGAAUUAAAAAUUGUCUUCUUUUUUGCAGAGCUGUACGAAACCUUUCAUGCACAUAUAAGUUCCUGAAUAUUGUGUAAUUUGAUGGAGGAAAGCAAUGAGCCUGUGAAGAUUGUGAAGCUGCCGCAUCACGAGGAAGAGCCACUGUGUGAGACUCGUGCAAAAUAUAGACAAGGCAAAAAGCUUACUGCAGUAAAGGUGUACACGGUCGCUGACGAGUCGCGGCACCUCCUGCUGCGGAAUGUCAGCUCUCUGAACAUUGCUGACGAGCUGGCGGCGCUGUGCCAGCGGUUCGGCCCGCUGGCUCAGUUCGGACCCGUGGAUGACUAUGAGACGGAACGGUUCACCAAGGUGUACCAUGUCCAGUACAAACGGAUGGCGGCCGCCAGGUUUGCCAAAGUGCAGCUGGAUGACCUCAGCUUCUUCGGUACCCACCUGAAGGCGUGCUACGCUCCUGAGCUGGAGACUCUGGAGGAGACGGCCGACAAACUGCGCUGGAGGCGACUCUACUACCGAAACGGACUGGCCAGAGGUCGGGGUGGUCGGAGACCGGGAGAGAGGACGGCGGCCGUACCGCCACCUGAAGCCGACCCGGGCCCCUCCGGUGACCCUCCGCUCGCUGCCGAGCCCCCCGGGCCCCUGAUCGGACCCUGUCUGCCCCUGCCGGGUGAGUGGGCCCCCCCGGCGGCGGACGGCGGAGCACAGCAGACGGCACCGCCGGAGCAGCCGGAGCCCCCGACCGCCCCUGACCGGCCACGGAAACGGAUCGUCUUCAAACGGAAAAGAAUACACGAGACACCGGAGCAGCAGCCAAACCAGCCAGCCGAGACUAGCAGUAGCAGUUCCUCGGCCGAGCAGAGUCUGAUGGAACGGACGACCGACCGGCUGCGUAUGGUGCGCGAGCAGAUCCAACAGGCGGUGCUACAUUCUAUCGAGAAGAGGCGGCGCUGUGACGAGGACCCCGGCGAUGCAUAACCCUGCGAGGCCGUCAGUCUACCGCCCGCGUCCGUCCUGCGCCUUACGGCACCGUCCCACAGCUUCUGGCGGUGUCGCAGCUGAGCUGUACCGGCGGUAUUGAUCUCUUAGGCGGCUAUGGUGCUGGCGGCUCUCGCCCUGCUGGGCGGCGCCAGCGCUCAAUACGACGUGGACGAUGCAGGAGAUUACGAGGACGACUUCCUGAACCAGCUGCAGCAGGACUAUGCGCUACGGGCGGCGCAUCUCAGAGACGGCGCCCGGGACGUCGACUACGAGCGCAGUCCGCCGUUCGGACGCGGCGGCUACAUCGACGAGGUGUAUGACGACGAGAGUGACGACGAUUGAGCUGUUGAGGGCAAGAAUGUCAAGAAUGCACAGCGCCGGUCGCUGGGGGUGGGCUGUUUCGCGCUGAGUGUUGGUGAUGAUGUGUAAGAUGUGACUACAGCUGGGACGGUAACUAAGAAUCACACAGGCCACGAUUUUGUUAAAUACCUAUCGAGCCUGAAAUGUAAUGAAAUGGUCCUGGCGAUGAAAUGUUACCGGUCCAGAUGAGAUACAGAGCUUACCGUCAGACUCAGAAUGUACGUAAUCAUUGGUUGAUGUUUAACUUUUAAGUUGAUCUGGAAUUGAGGAUUUGAUCAUCUUGAGUCAUUAAGUGUCUUUCCAACUUAGUUGACAAGAGAGAUGCAACUCCCCUGCUGUACUCGUAAUAUAACAUGCAUGUACAUUGCACGUUGCACAAUGGUAGGCGAAACUUCUUAUUUCACACUAUCGCUCAAUAAUGUGACUACGGGAGUAAUUAGGCUAUUUUCACCACAUUUGUGUGGGACUGUCUCUUCAAAAGAGCCGAUCUCUGGAUCAACGAUAUUGGUACGCCUAAGCAUGCCGCACUUUCCUAGUAAGAAUAUAUGGCGGAUACUAUCUU
rnacentral:misc_RNA from 1 species